UACGUAGGGCGCAAGCGUUAUCCGGAAUUAUUGGGCGUAAAGAGCUCGUAGGCGGUUUGUCGCGUCUGCCGUGAAAGUCCGGGGCUCAACUCCGGAUCUGCGGUGGGUACGGGCAGACUAGAGUGAUGUAGGGGAGACUGGAAUCCUGGUGUAGCGGUGAAAUGCGCAGAUAUCAGGAGGAACACCGGUGGCGAAGGCGGGUCUCUGGGCCGAUACUGACGCUGAGGAGCGAAAGCGUGGGGAGCGAACAGG
rnacentral:rRNA from 1 species